CGAAAUUCGUCGAUGAGAACAAUGCCAUAUCUUAUUUUAUUUCACAGAGAGCCUGCGUUUGCUGGAAGCAGGUAAUAAACAGAUAAGGAUAUCCUCUCUAAGAAGCGGGUUGAAAGCACAAUCAGUAAACCUCGCCGGUCUCCUCCGUUAUAGGGAACGCGUAUGAUAGUACGUUAGAGUGUUGCAGAUUUUAUUUGCAGAAUUAGGGUGGUAACGCGGAUUUAUUCGUCCCUUUU
rnacentral:ncRNA from 1 species